CAGGCCGUGCUGGGAGUUAGACAGCCGAAGGCUGCUCUCACGCACUGGUGAAAGGAGAGGCCGCGCUCCCGGCUCAACACGGUGUCCCGGGUGCUGCAGCCCACUGCCGAGCAACUUCGGGUCAUCUUGCUACGUGGGGCUCCACUUUGGGUGUUCCCGUGACAGCAUUAAUCGCGACAGAUUUAGCUCCGCCCGUGGGCUCGGCGGCUACGACCUUUAUUUGUCGGAAAAGGCGGGCUCUUAAGGCGCAAGACUCCUACCCUUCCUCUUCGUGGGCCUUGCGCUUGACGUCGUGACCAAUCACAGGCCACGUCGCGCCGCUGCAGCCAAUCGGAAAAACCGGAGGCAUUAAGACGAGCACUUGGCGGCUCCUCCCUCUUUGUUCGAGGGUGGUUAGUGGGUUUAGUUGUUGACGGCCUUGUUUUCCUCCUGUUUCAACCCCAUCUGGUGACAUCCGAUACCAUCGGGGUUCUUGUGAGACCGAACUUGAGAAUGCGAAGUGAAGAGGCAAGGCCAAAAUUGAGGCGAAUCCAGGGGCAUGGGGAUAGGUCUCCGGUACGAACUCAGAAAGUGACUGGAGGAUAUGGCUGGAGGAAGAGAUGGGCGAGGAAUAAACGCGGUGCCCUGGAAAUAUUGAAGACAAAAUUGGGCCCAAAAUAAAUUAUUUACUGAGAAGCGUAUCAUUUCCUUGCGUUUUAUUUGGUAGUUCCUUGAUGUGGAGAUAAUAAUAUAGGAGCUGUUGGUAUGGUUGGCCUGAGAUAAGUGACCCCGGAGGGGCUUGAAUGAGAGUGAAUAUGAGGAUACGUCGACAUUUAAUUCAACGAACCCUUUUCUACAAGACCCAUUGUCUGUGGGGGAAUUAAGAAGGAAAUAAGCAGGCAAGAGUGAUUGCAGCAUUUCCAAGCCAGAUUGCUUCUUUUUCCCCUUUUUGUUUACUUAGUCCAGAUUCCUGCCAAAAAGGAAUUAACAUUCUUGGAGAUGUUGGAAAAAGAUUCCUGGGCCUUGGAAGAUAAUUACUCCAAAUAUACAGGGGAGGAAUGAAAUUGAGGGUUUUUCAUAAAGAACAUCAUUUUGUCAGAUUUAUCUGAUAAAUGUGAACGUUUAUAUAGUAAGGUAAGAGGUUUAUUUGUUAAUUUUGGCGAACAGAAAAUCAGAUAUCAGCAAACGAUAUGUGAGCAUAAUGUGGAUAUCAUACUCAAAUUUUUUUCCCUUUCACCUUUGAAAGAUAAUUUUCUAAAUCAAUAGAUUUGAUUCAGGAUUGGCAAUUGGGUGGCUGGGGUCAGGACUUUUAACCUUGAUGAUCAUCUUUUCUCAGAAACAAUAAUGUAAUUCAGGCCCUGAAAUUCUUAGAGAUCAUAUAUUCCAGGGUUUAAAUUUGCUGAACUUUUGGAUCAUCUAUAAAUGACUCUUUGAUAUGCCACUGAAUGACCAUCCUGUAACUUAAGCUUUAUUCAAGAACAGUAGAUACGUAGGUAGUCAAAAGCUGGAAAUCUCAAAUCUAAUACCAGAUUAGUCUGUCAGUAUGCAUGUAGUCUUGGAGUGUUUCAAAUCUGAGGAAUAUAAAGGAGAAAAAUUUUUGCAAAUACUCAAAAUUGAUUCACACAUAUUUUCAUUUCAUAAAUUUCUACAAACAUAAAAGUUGAUGUAAACUUUGCUUAUAUGCCUUAAUGAAAAGAUGUACAAAAUAAGUGCAUUCAAAAACAAAACUAAAACAUUAAUGAGAUGGAUGCUACUGUUACAGAAGUAAACAUAGUGCUUGCUGGCUGGUAUGGAAUAAGUUGUAAACACAUAGAGUCUUGUGCCUUGUGAUGACUGUAAAGCUUUACAGCCUGGACGACAGUAGAUUUGGCCAGAACUUUACUUUUUUGCAGACCUCAAUAUUACUGAAAUGAGGGGAGGGGGCCUAAAUUCUCAAAAGGAUGUCUUUGGACUGUCUGCAAAUCCUAAUAUGAAGAAUUAUGUAUUUGUCUCCAAACAUUUUUCCAGCUCCAAUGAGUAAUUCAGUCUGGAACUAACAUUCCUUUGAGAAAACCUUUGGUUUUUAUUUUGAUCUACAGUUAUGUUUGACCAGUAGUUAAAUUGGGUUAAAAGUUGACUAUUUUGUGAACUAAUACAAGUUUUUCUUUUUAGAUACAGGUAGUCCUUACUUUGCAUCAUUCCAAUAUACGUGAAGAUCAGUUUUCACAGUUUAGUUAAAUAACAUCAAUUCCCCUACAACAUGGUUGAAAUUUCAGUUACCACAAUAGUAACCAAAUUGUUGCAUAAGCUUUGCUGGUAGCUCUUUGUUCCACAAAUGAUUAUGCAUAUAAAAGAUUGUCAGUAACCACUUAUAUCACUUCUUUCAAAAGUCUGUUGGUGAUUGAUCACUGAACAUCUGUUAGUUCACACAGAGAGUAAAGCAUGUAGUUGUGUUGCCUAGUUUUCCAGUGAUAAACCCCCCGACAUUUUACAAAAAUGGAUAAUCAAGAGGGAAUUGGUCAACAAAGAUGACAGGGCAGCAAAGAAACAAAAAGUGGUAACACUGGAAGUGAAAUUGGACGUCAUUAGAAGAUUUGAAAAUGGUGACAGCAUAGUGAAGACAAGAUGAGACCUAGGCUGACAUGAACCUAUAGUACGAACCAUCUUUUAAAAGUUCAGUGAAACUUUUAGGUAAAGUUGCUUCAACAUUUUUUAGUUUAAAUUGUACUAGGAACAGAAAGCCAUGUAUGGUUGAAAUGGAAUGUUUACUUCUACUUGGCACUGAGGACUCUAAUAAAAAACAAAUCCCAAUCAGUUUGGCUAGCAUUCAAGCCAAAGUGUUGAGGUUAGUUGCUGCACUGAAGGAAAAUGGUUAACUACAAGGAGACUGAAAAAGAACAUUUUACUGCUAAUAAAGGCUGGUUUCGUCGUUUGUAAAGUCGGCAUGAAUUGAUUAAUUUUCUGCUAUCUGGUGAAGCUGCAAGCUCAGAUAAGGAUGCUACUGUGAAAUUUGCACAUUAUUCCAAGAAUCAUAGGCAGUCCUUGCUUUGUACAUUAGAAGACUACUGUGUAAAAACAUCACAGGGUUUGGCUGUAAUGUAAAUGGAGUUCUCGAAGAUACAGAUGACUGGGAAUGUUAACACUGCUGCUACUUCAAGUAGUCUAGAUAUACAGCCAGAAGAAUUUAGUGAAGGUGAACAUAGUUAUAGAGGAGGAAAGCCGUUGUGUGUUGUAAAGGAUGAAUACGUUUCAGAGGAAGUGAUGCAGGUGACAAACCACAUUAAAGGAACUCUCAGAUAUUUCAUGACAUUGAAUGCGUAAAGAAUAAAAUUUUAGAAGCAGAUCCAAACUCAGGAGUAUGACAGUUUGCCAAGGUGAAGAAAAGAUUCUUGCUCCAUAUUGUAAAUUACAUGAGAAAGCAAGCACUAUUCAAACUACUGUUGAGACUUUUCUGUAAAUAAAACACUAUAAUUUUCAAUGUUUCUGUUUUAAAUAUUUUUUUGUAUUUAUAACCAACAUCAAGAGAGUUUGACAGAUUUUAAGGUUACAGAACAAGAUUGUUAAUCCCGUAGGUUAAGAUUGCAGUUUUAGCUUGCAUAGUCCACGUGAGAACUCCCUGCAUUUAAAACAAG